CUAGAAUGGCAACUUUGUAACUUUCAAGAAUACCACAUAAUAAAAACUGAUUUAAUGAGUUUAAUUAUGUAGUAUUCUUGAAAGUUACAAAGUGUUUCAUUUUAG
rnacentral:pre_miRNA from 1 species